UGGUAGGCCUGUUUCCAGGUUAGUUGGUUGGUAAGCUGCCAUUUAUGUUAGGCUUGUUGCCAGGUUGGUAGGUUUGUUGCCAGGUUAGUUGGUUGGUAAGCUGCCAUUUUAUUUUAGGCUUGUUGCCAGGUUGGUAGGCUUGUUGCCAGGUUGGUAGGCUUGUUGCCAGGUUGGUAGGCUUGUUGCCAGGUUGGUAGGCUUGUUGCCAGGUUAAUUGGUUGGUAAGCUGCCAUUUUCUUUUAGGCUUGUUGCCAGGUUGGUAUGCUUGUUUCAAGGUUAGUUGGUUUGUAAGCUGCCAGGUUGGUAGGCUUGUUGCAAAGUUGCUAGGCUUGUUUGACGGUUUGUUGGUUGGUAGGCGUGUUGCCAGGUUGGUAGGCGUGUUGCCAGGUUAGUUGGUUGGUAGGCUUGUUGCCAGGUUAGGUGGUUGGUAGGCUUGUUGUCAGGUUGGUAGGUUGGUUGCCAGGUUAGUUGGUUGGUAGGUUGGUUGCCAGGUUAGUUGGUUGGUAGAUUGCCAGGUUGGUAGGUUAGUUACCAGGUUGGUAGGCUUGUUUCCAGGUUGGUAAGUUGCCAGGUUGGUAGGUUGCCCAUUAGGUUGGUAGGUUGCCUCUUAGGUUGGUUGGUUGGUAGGUUGGAUGGUUGGUUAAUAGGUUGGAUUGUUGGUUGGGAGGUUGCCUCUAAGGUUGCCAGGUAGGUUGGUGAGUUGGUUGGUGGGUUGCCAGGUAGGUUUGUUAGUUGAAGGUUCCCAGGUUGUUAGGUUGCCUCUUAGGUUGCCUGGUAGGUUGCCAGGUUGGUAGGUAUGUUGCCAGGUUAGUUGGUAGGUAGGUUGCCUGGUAGAUUAGGAGGUUGCCUCUUAGGUUGCCAGCUAGGUUGGUUAGUUGGUUGGUAGGUUGGUAGGUUGCCUCUAAGGUUGGUAGGUUGCCAGGUUGGUAGCUUAACAGGUUGCCUUAUUAGCCGGUUAAAACUAGAAGUGGGGGUAAACAUCUUCGUGUGAGAAUCUGGAUAACUUUCUUCCCAAUACUUUACGUAUUGUCAGAUUGACAAAAAUAUGUAAACCAUUAAAGUCCAAGUUAUCUGAGUGGAAGCAAAAUAAACACGCACAGUGCGUGUGUCUGUGUGACGUGCUCGACGUAGGUGAACAACAAGACGUUGUUCAGAUCUACAAUAGCGGCAUAUGGUAAAAUGAGCGAUGAGAAAUUGAAAUGCUGUGCAGCCUGCAAGUGUUAAUUAGGUACCAGUCUGUCCACCGGUUGAGUUCCCUCUCUGGUGUGUGUGUGUGUGUGUGUGUGUGUGUGUGUGUGUGUGUGUGUGUGUGUGUGUGUGUGUGUGUGUGUGUGUGUGUGUGUGUGUG